rnacentral:rRNA from 1 species
UAGGGAAUCUUCGGCAAUGGACGAAAGUCUGACCGAGCAACGCCGCGUGAGUGAAGAAGGUUUUCGGAUCGUAAAACUCUGUUGUUAGAGAAGAACAAGGACGUUAGUAACUGAACGUCCCCUGACGGUAUCUAACCAGAAAGCCACGGCUAACUACGUGCCAGCAGCCGCGGUAAUACGUAGGUGGCAAGCGUUGUCCGGAUUUAUUGGGCGUAAAGCGAGCGCGGGCGGUUUCUUAAGUCUGAUGUGAAAGCCCCCGGCUCAACCGGGGAGGGUCAUUGGAAACUGGGAGACUUGAGUGCAGAAGAGGAGAGUGGAAUUCCAUGUGUAGCGGUGAAAUGCGUAGAUAUAUGGAGGAACACCAGUGGCGAAGGCGGCUCUCUGGUCUGUAACUGACGCUGAGGCUCGAAAGCGUGGGGAGCAAACAGG